rnacentral:lncRNA from 1 species
ACUGGAGCAAGCCUCAUUCAACCAGAACAGGCUGCCUUUCAUGGCCCCACAGAUCUGCCAUAAGCACAACAUUUAACGUGAAGAGAAAAAGCUCUGCAGAGAGAGCCACGUACGUGUCACUGAGGCGUAAGGAGAAUGUGACAAGAACUUUGUUCUUUUACUAAUUCUGACCUCAGAAUCAAAUCAGCUGCCCUCGUGAAUCGUAUCUCUCCAACUGCAUCUUGGCAAGGUAAGGGAAUUUGGCUGCAAUGAAGAGUGAAGGAUUUUUGCAUCUUCCAACUUCAGAAUAGCAAAGAGAGCGCGGAGGCAGAUGGAUGAGAUGAAGAAAUGGCACCCAACUCUGGAUUUGAACAUCUCUUAGACAAGAGGUGGGGGGAAAUAACAAGCCGAGAUAGAAAAGAAACCUUGAGAGACAAUAUUCUAGCCAAAGAGAUAUGCAGCACCUGUUCUUUCAUGCCCGCGUCAUUCCUGAAUGGUGAACUAAGCAAGAAUGAGGAAAGCAGAUAUAUAAGCAGUGGAAUGAAUAUGUUUGUAAACUUUUAAAGCACCCUUGAAAGGCAACACAAGCUGAAGCAUGUGUGUUAAAGGCACUAUGGAGGUGAACCUUUAAGAGAUGAGGCUCCGCACAAGUCCCUUCCAGUCCAAUGCAGCACCAGGGUCUCUGGCCCCGGGGAGUCUCCAGACACAGAAAAGACCUACACAGGAUCCGCGAUGGGAUCCUAAGACCUCUGGGCAGUGAAAAUCAGGUCACUGCAAUCAUGAAGGCAAGAGAUGUGGAACAUGGAACAUGAAGAAGGCACAUGGAACCAAGUGAAGUGGCUAAAGCUAUGAUGAAUUUAAAAUGAGGUAAAACAAGACGUGUGCUUCCUUCUCCUCGUUCACAAGCAGCUUGCAGAGGACAAGGUGAAGCAUUAAAAGACUGAACAAUGCUGAAACGCUUCGGAACUGUGCAAGCUGCCCCAAGACCCAGAAUAAUCAAUGUGGAACCCUGCUUACUCUUUUCAAAGGGCUGAAAUUUCCAACUGGAAACUGAAGCAACGAGGAUUCCUUCCAGGCACUAAUCAGUGGGAGUCCUCACUACUUUCUGAGAAGAGUGAAAUUCUCCAUCAAUGAAAGAAUCACUGGAGUAAAACUGGCAAACUUCU